rnacentral:rRNA from 1 species
AUACGGAGGGGGCCAGCGUUGUUCGGAAUUAUUGGGCGUAAAGGGCGCGCAGGCGGUCGCGCAAGUCGGUUGUGAAAUCCCCUGGCUUACCCAGGGAACUGCAUCCGAUACUGCGUGACUUGAGUCCGGGAGAGGAGAGUGGAAUUCCCAGUGUAGCGGUGGAAUGCGUAGAUAUCGGGAAGAACACCAGUGGCGAAGGCGGUCUGCUGGGCCGUUGCUGACGCUGAGGCGCGACAGCGUGGGGAGCAAACAGGAUUAGAAACCCCAGUAGUCC